rnacentral:lncRNA from 1 species
CCACCGCCUAGGCCAAUUCAGCUCACUGGUUGGGCUCCAAACUUGGCCCAAACCAGUCCGAACUCGGGCCCAAUUGGCCCCUACUUGGGUUAUAGGAUUAACACCUAAUCCUAACCCUAAUUAACAUGCUAACUACGAAUUUAAAGACAUUUUCUAAGCUAUUACAAAGUCCGUAAGUCAAGACUUCUUCCGGCGAACUUCCGAU